rnacentral:lncRNA from 1 species
AAUGAGGAGCCACAAUUAUCUCAUACGAGACAACUCCUAUAAAGCACUGGUACUGCUAUCCAGUCUGUCUGGCACUUCAGUCAGCUGAUUAUUUGCCAAUUGCUCUAUAAAAAAGGGAGAGAAAUGUCUUGAUGGAGUCUCUUCCUUGGAAUGCAGACAUAUGUUACACAUCUUAGAGAGAGCCCUCGCGUGAGGACUGUGUGAUGCUAUUCAAAAUUAGAAGGCCUGUGGUUUCUAUUCUUAUGAAACCUUGGCUGCAGAGUUCCUCAAUAAAGUCUAUUCCUAUUCUUCAACCCAUGCUGUAAGGUUUUGUGAAUUUUUUACCUAGCUUUAGGAAAAUAACAAGUUUAGCUCAAUAUUGAGCUAAGAACAAGGAAUAACUAUCUCUUGCAACUUCUGCUUCUCUUCAUCCUCAAAAACAUCCUCCUAGUUCAACCUCUGAUUACUUGUGCUAAGCCAAUUGU